GAUGCACGCUGGCGGCGUGCCUAACACAUGCAAGUCGAACGCAGCACUUUUCCCGGGAAAAGAAGGCGUGCUUGCACAAAUCGGACCCAUUUAAAGUGACUUAGUGGCGGACGGGUGAGUAACGCGUGGGUAACCUGCCUCACACAGGGGGAUAACAGUUAGAAAUGACUGCUAAUACCGCAUGAGCGCACAGUACCGCAUGGUAUGGUGUGAAAAGAUUUAUCGGUGUGAGAUGGACCCGCGUCUGAUUAGCCAGUUGGCAGGGUAACGGCCUACCAAAGCGACGAUCAGUAGCCGGCCUGAGAGGGUGAACGGCCACAUUGGGACUGAGACACGGCCCAAACUCCUACGGGAGGCAGCAGUGGGGGAUAUUGCACAAUGGGGGAAACCCUGAUGCAGCGACGCCGCGUGAGUGACGAAGUAUUUCGGUAUGUAAAGCUCUAUCAGCAGGGAAGAAAAUGACGGUACCUGACUAAGAAGCCCCGGCUAACUACGUGCCAGCAGCCGCGGUAAUACGUAGGGGGCAAGCGUUAUCCGGAUUUACUGGGUGUAAAGGGAGCGUAGACGGCGAGUCAAGUCUGAUGUGAAAGGUGGGGGCUCAACCCCCAAACUGCAUUGGAAACUGGUUUGCUAGAGUGUCGGAGAGGUAAGUGGAAUUCCUAGUGUAGCGGUGAAAUGCGUAGAUAUUAGGAGGAACACCAGUGGCGAAGGCGGCUUACUGGACGAUCACUGACGUUGAGGCUCGAAAGCGUGGGGAGCAAACA
rnacentral:rRNA from 1 species